rnacentral:rRNA from 1 species
CCUACGGGUGGCAGCAGUAGGGAAUCUUCCACAAUGGGCGAAAGCCUGAUGCAGCAACGCCGCGUGGGUGAAGAAGGUCUUCGGAUCGUAAAACCCUGUUGUUAGAGAAGAAAGUGCGUGAGAGUAACGGUUCACGUUUCGACGGUAUCUAACCAGAAAGCGAUGGCUAACUACGUGCCAGCACCCGCGGUAAUACGUAGGUGGCAAGCGUUAUCCGGAGUGAGUGGGCGUAAAGGGCACGCAGGCGGUUUUUUAAGUCAGAUGUGAAAGCCUUCGGCUUAACCGGAGUAGUGCAUUGGAAACUGGGAGACUUGAGUGCGGAAGAGGAGGGUGGAAUUCCAGGUGUAGCGGUGAAAUGCGUAGAGAUAUGGAAGAACACCCGUGGCGAAGGCGGCUCUCUGGUCUAUAACUGACGCUGAGGUUCGAAAGCGUGGGUAGCAAACAGGAUUAGAUACCCCAGUAGUC